CCCAACUAAACCACACCAAUUUACCAUUCAAACCCCAUAGUUACAAGUAUAUCACUUCACCCUUUCACUGCUGCCCAUUAAUAGCCCCCAUGGUCCACACUUUCAACUCACACCAAAACCUCCAUCUCUUUCAUAUUCGGUUUUCCCUCUCAAGAACCGAAACCACCAAAACCCACAUACACACACACACAUACUAGAAUUCAAGUUAAGCUCAAGGGUUCAAGUGCAAGGUUUCAAGUUCUAGUUUCAAAUCCUUCUCCUUGCUUGCUUUUUUGAUUAGCGGAUCAUUAAGAAGCUCAGUGACCAAUCAAGCGGAUCCUGAGUUAGCCCGCGCUGAAAAGGCUUAUGACCAUCUAUCACUGCCUGUGAUGGACCUGGUCGCAAAGGCACUGGAGCAUGACGACUAGUGCCCGCGGCUGAAGCAGAUUCUUGACCCUCCAGUGUCCGUGGAAAUGACGGUGAUGGUGAUGACGAUGAUGAUGAUGGUGGUGACGGUUACGAGUAGGUAGUAUUGACAGGCUUUGUGCCUUAUAAUUUUAGAUGCUAAAUGUAACCUGUUGCGUGGUUGCGCUUAUUUUAUUUUGAACUGAUAAUGCUCUGUUAUUUUGUCAUGUAAUCAUUGCGCGGUUGCGCUUGCUGAAUACGAUGUUUAUGUUUGCUUUCUUUU